rnacentral:lncRNA from 1 species
GUCCAUACAUGUUUAUAAUAAAAGUGGAUGGGAUUUCUUUUUGUUGUUAUAUUCAUGAUGUUACACUUGUCUGGAUGGAAAGACAUAAGCCAAUCUUUUUCCCAUUGUAUGGCAGCUUCUAGGUCUUCUUGAAGCUUGAGGCAGUCGUUUUGAGUUUUAAUUUGUCGGUAGAUUAUACUGUCAUCUGCAAAGAGUCUGAUUUUGCUAUGUUGGAUGUAAUCUGGGAGGUCAUUUAUGUAAAUUAAGAAUAGUAUCGGUCCUAGCACUGUACCCUGUGGGACUCCUGAUGAGACUGGUAUUUUUGAAGAUGACAUGUUUUCUAAAAGUACUGUUUGUGUUCUGUUUGAAAGAAAGGAGUCUACCCAGUUAAUGAUUUGAUCUGAUAUGCCAAAGUAUUUCAUUUUGUAUAGUAAUCUUUUGUGUGGUACCUUGUCGAAAGCUUUAGCAAAAUCCAUGAUAAUAAGAUCUGUUUGUAUGUUCUUGUCGUUGUUUUGGAAUAAUUCAUGUAUCAGUGAGAUGAUUUGUGAUUCACAUGAUCGUUUUGCCCUAAAUCCAUGUUGUAAUUCAUAUAGAGUGUUGUUUGUUUCUAAGUGAUUCAUCAUGCUGCUUGCAAAGAUAUGUUCGAGUAGUUUGCAAGCUAUGCAUGUUAAGGAUAUAGGCCUAUAGUUGCCUGGGUUGUGUUUAUCCCCUUUUUUGAAUACAGGUGUGACAUUUGCGUGGUUCCAGUCAGAUGGUACUUUGCCUGUUUGUAGUGAUCUUGUAAAUAUUAAAGUGAGGAUAUCUGUACAUAUUUCGAUGUUUUGUUUUAGUACUUUGCCUGCGAUGGUGUCAGGACCAGUUGCUUUAUUCGGGUUUAUGUUUUUGAUUAGUUUGUAAACACCAUCCCUAGAUAUUCUAAUGGGUUCCAUUAUAGGGUGUUUACUAGGACCUUUGUCUGGAAUGUUAGUGUUUGCUUCAGAUGUAAAAGCAGACUGAAAUUGUUUGUUAAGUAUAUUUGCUUUCUCAGAUGGACUUGAGUGCAGUGUACCUUCACUUCGCAGAGGAGCUAUGCCGGUGUUUUCGUUUUUCUGGCUUUUAAUGUAGGUGUACAGUUUUUUAGGCGUAUUAUUGAAGCAUGUUUGAUCUGGCUCCUUUAUUUCAAUAUCGAAAAUCAUGUUUUCUAUGUAUUGCCAGUACGAGUUUCUCAUUUCUUUCUGGAGCUUGGUUUUUAUCUCUUGGUAUUGUUUUUUUAUACUUAGGAUUUUUCUUUUUCUUUUUGUAUAAUUUGUUUUUCUUGUUGAUGAGCUUUUUAAGUUGGUAAUUUACCCAAGGUAGUUUCGAUUUGUUACCAAUGCUUUUUGUUGGAAUAUUCUUGGUAAUAGACUUUUGGAUGUUGGUUUUGAACGUGUUCCAAAGUUCAUCAAGAUUUAAUUUAUCUUGAUCUUGUUUAAGUUCUUUGUAUGUUUCAGUGAGAUCUUUUUCUAUUUGCUCCCAAUUUGCCUUUUUGUAGUGAAGUACUUUAUGAGCCUGUUGUUUAUUUUGUGGCAGAGUUAAGUUUAUUUCACUGUAGACAAUGUCAUGAUCACUUGCUCCGAUUGGUGGUAAUGUUUCGACUCUAUUAACAAAUGAUGGAUUGGUCAUACACAAAAGAUCUAGGGUUGUGUCGUUUCUGGUGUUCUUGUUUAUGACCUGUGUUAAAUUGUUGUCAUUUAAUAUAUCGAGGAGUUGUUGGUGUAGUGAUGCAUCAGG